CAGUCGAACGAAGAUAUAAGGCGGAAUUCUUCGGGAGGAAGCCGUAUAUGACUUAGUGGCGGACGGGUGAGUAACGCGUGAGUAACCUGCCUUACACAGGGGGACAACAGCUGGAAACGGCUGCUAAUACCGCAUAAGCGCACAGGACCGCAUGGUACGGUGUGAAAAGAUUUAUCGGUGUAAGAUGGACUCGCGUCUGAUUAGUUAGUUGGCGGGGUAACGGCCCACCAAGACAACGAUCAGUAGCCGACUUGAGAGAGUGAUCGGCCACAUUGGGACUGAGACACGGCCCAAACUCCUACGGGAGGCAGCAGUGGGGAAUAUUGCACAAUGGGGGAAACCCUGAUGCAGCGACGCCGCGUGAGCGAAGAAGUAUUUCGGUAUGUAAAGCUCUAUCAGCAAGGAAGAUAAUGACGGUACUUGACUAAGAAGCUCCGGCUAAAUACGUGCCAGCAGCCGCGGUAAUACGUAUGGAGCAAGCGUUAUCCGGAUUUACUGGGUGUAAAGGGAGCGUAGACGGCAUGGCAAGUCUGAUGUGAAAGCCCGGGGCUCAACCCCGGAACUGCAUUGGAAACUGUCGUGCUAGAGUGCAGGAGAGGUAAGCGGAAUUCCUAGUGUAGCGGUGAAAUGCGUAGAUAUUAGGAGGAACACCAGUGGCGAAGGCGGCUUACUGGACUGUAACUGACGUUGAGGCUCGAAAGCGUGGGGAGCAAACAG
rnacentral:rRNA from 1 species